GAUGAACGCUGGCGGCGUGCCUAAUACAUGCAAGUCGAGCGAACAGACGAGGAGCUUGCUCCUCUGACGUUAGCGGCGGACGGGUGAGUAACACGUGGAUAACCUACCUAUAAGACUGGGAUAACUUCGGGAAACCGGAGCUAAUACCGGAUAAUAUAUUGAACCGCAUGGUUCAAUAGUGAAAGACGGUUUUGCUGUCACUUAUAGAUGGAUCCGCGCCGCAUUAGCUAGUUGGUAAGGUAACGGCUUACCAAGGCAACGAUGCAUAGCCGACCUGAGAGGGUGAUCGGCCAAACUGGAACUGAGACACGGUCCAGACUCCUACGGGAGGCAGCAGUAGGGAAUCUUCCGCAAUGGGCGAAAGCCUGACGGAGCAACGCCGCGUGAGUGAUGAAGGUCUUCGGAUCGUAAAACUCUGUUAUUAGGGAAGAACAAAUGUGUAAGUAACUAUGCACGUCUUGACGGUACCUAAUCAGAAAGCCACGGCUAACUACGUG
rnacentral:rRNA from 1 species